GACGAACGCUGGCGGCGUGCCUAACACAUGCAAGUCGAACGAAGCUUGACGAACGAUUCUUCGGAUGAAUUCUGAUAUGAUUGAGUGGCGGACGGGUGAGUAACGCGUGAGCAACCUGCCCUUCAGAGGGGGAUAGUGUCUGGAAACGGACAGUAAUACCGCAUAAUGUACAUUGAUGGCAUCUUCGAUGUACCAAAGCUUUUGCGCUGAAGGAUGGGCUCGCGUCUGAUUAGAUAGUUGGUGAGGUAACGGCCCACCAAGGCGACAAUUGGUAGCCGGACUGAGAGGUUGAACGGCCACAUUGGGACUGAGACACGGCCCAGACUCCUACGGGAGGCAGCAGUGGGGAUAUUGCACAAUGGGGGAAACCCUGAUGCAGCGACGCCGCGUGGAGGAAGAAGGUUUCGGAUUGUAAACUCCUGUCGUUAGGGACGAUAAUGACGGUACCUAACAAGAAAGCACCGGCUAACUACGUG
rnacentral:rRNA from 1 species